rnacentral:lncRNA from 1 species
CUUCCCGAGCGAGCAGAAGCAGACCCUACCGGGGAUACUGGGAAUCUGGAAGCCCACUUCCUGCCCCACACGGGGAUACCGGGGCAGCACCACACUCCCUAGCCGCCCUGCCUACUGUGGGAUAAGAAAACGGGCUCGACUGCCUGGACCUAGACCCGGACUCGGAACCCGGGGUACUUCGUCAACCAGAAAACGAACCUGUGUUGCUGUCUUCCUCGUCCCUCCGGCCCUUCUUCCUACUCAGCGUCUCACUUUUGGCCUAUUUUCUGCUGGAUCUCUGGCAGCCUCGCUUUCUCCCUGACGUUUCAGCAUCAUCCCCAGAGGAGCCACACUCUGACAGUGAGGGUGCGGGGUCAGGCGCCCGGCCGCACCUGCUGAGUGUGCCCGAGUUGUGCAGAUACCUGGCUGAGAGCUGGCUCACCUUCCAGAUUCACCUGCAGGAGCUGCUGCAGUACAAGAGGCAGAAUCCAGCUCAGUUCUGCGUUCGAGUCUGCUCUGGCUGUGCUGUGUUGGCUGUGUUGGGACACUAUGUUCCAGGGAUUAUGAUUUCCUACAUUG